rnacentral:rRNA from 1 species
GAGACUCUGUGCGCGUGCAUAUCAAUAAGCGGAGGAAAAGAAACUAACAAGGAUUCCCCUAGUAACGGCGAGUGAAGCGGGAAGAGCUCAAAUUUGAAAUCUUAAAGGGUUUCCCUUUACGAAUUGUAGUUUAAAGAAGUGUUUUCUGUUGGAGUUUCGGUAAAAGUUCUUUGGAAGUAGGACAUCAUAGAGGGUGAGAAUCCCGUAUUUGACCGUUACUUUCCAGCUGUGUGAUACACUUUCAAAGAGUCGGAUUGUUUGGGAAUGCAGUCCAAAAUGGGUGGUAAAUUUCAUCUAAAGCUAAAUAUUGGCGAGAGACCGAUAGCGAACAAGUACCGUGAGGGAAAGAUGAAAAGAACCUUGAAAAGAGAGUUAAACAGUACGUGAAAUUGUCAAAAGGGAAGCGUUUGACACCAGUGUUGUUUAGUUGAAAAUCAAUUCAAUAGUUUUUGAUUCUAAGUAGUAUUGACUUCAUCAGCUUGCUGCUUUCUUCUCAGAAAUUAUUGAAUGCACUUUUCAGUUAACAAGUCAACAUCAAUUUCUUUUGUUGUAAAAGGGUAAGAGGAAGGUGGCCUGCGCUUCGGCUCAAGUGUUUAUAGCCUUUUAUCUCUGCAAUCGGAGAGAUUGAGGUCUGCAGCGUAGAUCCUUCGGGGUUAGAUACAUUGGUGCUAAGCUAUAGCCUUGUAUAGACAACUUGUUGACUAUGCUCAGUCAUGUAGCUUACUCGCUGAUGCUAUUUUACCUACGCUUAGGAUGUUGAUCUGUAGUGCGUGCGC